rnacentral:tRNA from 1 species
ACCUGCGUGACGCAAUGGCAAGCGUCUGGCAGCGUCUGCACCGCGCAGACGGUUGGUUCGAUUCCGACCGCAGGAA